CGCUUUGGCAGUGUGGUUAGCUGGUUGUGUAGCCAAUCAUUGCUUGUGACAACUCACAGCCACUAUCUUCACUGCCGCCGCGA
ncrna:Drosophila erecta microRNA der-mir-34 precursor